rnacentral:lncRNA from 1 species
CAUUUUGCACCCAGUUUAGAAAAAAAAAUGAGAGAGAUCCUCUGAAAUUCUUCCCAGCCCUCUGAGCUCUGGCCCUAGGCUGGUCUGCUCCAUUCAUCGGACCUACGUGCUCAGCCUCACGCACCGUCACCAACUCCGCCACACACGGUGGUUGGGGUCCAAAAAGCUUCGCUUUUCUCGGCAAAUCUAGAAGGUACUUCUUCCUCCUCUUUUUUUAAUGUAUUAUAUGCAGGUUGUUUGCAAUAAAGUAAAAAAUAAAAGGUAGAAAGAGAACAAUAGAUCACCUUCGUUUCUCGUGAAAUCUUUCUGAUAUAUUAUUGCAAAAAUAUUUGGUGUACAAUAUCUCUGUGGUGUUUUUCUCUCUGUAUAUGUGUAUCGUAAGUGUCCUUUACAGAUUGAGAAAAAGGCUUUAUAGCCUCGAUAAACCAUUACAAGUUUUGGAAAGAAAUCUCUGAUUUCUUUCCGUAUUCGCUUCGCAUGUCUGCUGUGAUUUUCUUUCCUUUUUCCUGCAGGUGACCGCGAAAAUUACGGUGGUUGCUGGCGUGGACUCGUGUUGACGAUGAUUCGCCACGAUCGGUGGAAAUGGCCCUAACAUGGUGUUGAAAUAUUGGCCCCCUGGUGGAGGCGUGAUCGGUGGCUGAGCUGAAGGGUCGUGGUGCGUUGAAAGGCCUGUGACAAUACAUUGAUGACCUGAGACAGAGCAUUGAUGGCAGAUGCUCCCCGAAUCUUCCAGAAGCAGUGGCGGCUCGAGGAGAGAAAGAAGAAAGGCAGAAACCCUAGGGUUUCCUGCCUUGGUGUAACAGGCUGGGCCAGUUGGGCCGCUUUAGUCCUGGGCUAAUUGUAUAACGAGUUUAAGUGUGGGUUUAGUUUGGGUUUUAAUUUUUGGGCUCUGUAUAUGGACUGUUUAAAUAAAUAAACAUUUAUUUAUUUAUUUAUUUUAAGUUUUUUUUGGUUUUAAGGCCCGGUCAAAUUUGGGCUAUUACAUAUAUAUAUGUAUAUAUAUAUACUCUUGAUCAAUGUAGUUUGGUAUCAUUAUCAGAUAUCAAGUAGUAAAGUUUGAGUCUCAUUUAGAGAUGAUAAUAGAGUGGGGUAGGGGUGAUUUUGUUAAAUCUAUCAUCAUUCCCAUAGCGGGCACGUUUUACUCCACCACUAAUUCUGUUUCAUUAUUAAUGUAUGAUAUUAAUAAUCACUACCACUUUUUUUUAUAAUACUUUAGUACAUUUUACUGUCUUAAUAAUUAUAUAUAUAAAGAUAAAAAUGUAAUUUUAU